AGCGAACGCUGGCGGCAGGCCUAACACAUGCGAGUCGAACGAACCUUUCGGGGUUAGUGGCGGACGGGUGAGUAACACGUGGGAACGUGCCUUUAGGUUCGGAAUAACUCAGGGAAACUUGUGCUAAUACCGAAUGUGCCCUUCGGGGGAAAGAUUUAUCGCCUUUAGAGCGGCCCGCGUCUGAUUAGCUAGUUGGUUGUGGUAAUGGCUCUCCAAGGCGACGAUCAGUAGCUGGUCUGAGAGGAUGAGCAGCGACAUCGGGACUGAGACACGGCCCAAACUCCGACGCUCAGCUGCCAUCGCGGCUCUUGCGCACUGGGCGAACACCUGACGUUGCCUUGCCGCGUUAAUAAUGUAGGUCUUGGCAUCGUACAAUUCUUUCACCGGAGCCUCUACUGACGGUACCCCGCGAAGAAGCCCCGGCUAACUUCGUG
rnacentral:rRNA from 1 species